rnacentral:rRNA from 1 species
GUGGGGAAUAUUGGACAAUGGGCGAAAGCCUGAUCCAGCAAUGCCGCGUGAGUGAUGAAGGCCUUAGGGUUGUAAAGCUCUUUUACCAGGGAUGAUAAUGACAGUACCUGGAGAAUAAGCUCCGGCUAACUCCGUGCCAGCAGCCGCGGUAAUACGGAGGGAGCUAGCGUUGUUCGGAAUUACUGGGCGUAAAGCGCGCGUAGGCGGUUUAUCAAGUCAGGGGUGAAAUCCCGGGGCUCAACCCCGGAACUGCCCUUGAAACUGGUUCACUAGAAUCCGGGAGAGGCGAGUGGAAUUCCGAGUGUAGAGGUGAAAUUCGUAGAUAUUCGGAAGAACACCAGUGGUGAAGGCGACUCGCUGGACAGGUAUUGACGCUGAGGUGCGAAAGCGUGGGGAGCAAACAGGAUUAGAAACCCUGGUAGUCC